GGGCCGCGGUAUUUUGACCGUGCAAAGGUAGCAUAAUAGUUAGGUCUUUAAUUGAGAUCUUGUAUGAAUGGUUUGACAAAAGAAAGCCUGUCUUUGUACUCAUUAGUUGAAUUUAACUUUUAAGUGAAAAGGCUUAAAUUUCUUAGGGGGACGAUAAGACCCUAUAAAACAUUGUGUUGGGGCGACAAAAAUAAAAUUAAUAACUGUUUUUAUUUAUGACAAUUAUGUGUGUUAUGAUCCUAAUUAAAGAUUAUAAGUUUAAGUUACUUUAGGGAUAACAGCGUUAUUUUUUUUGAGAGUUCUUAUCGAAAAAAAAGUUUGCGACCUCGAUGUUGAAUUAAAAUUUCUACACAAUUGUAGGAGUUGUGUAAGAAGGUCUGUUCGACCUUUAAAUUUUU
rnacentral:rRNA from 1 species